CAGUAAGUAGUUUAAAUAAAAAUGUUAAUUUUGGGGAUUAAUGAUAAGUCUUACUUUUUACUGA
rnacentral:tRNA from 1 species